GGACUACAAGGGUAUCUAAUCCCGUUUGCUCCCCUGGCUUUCGCUGAUCAGCGUCAAUGCCGGUCCAGGAUGCCGCCUUCGCCACCGGUGUUCCUCCAGAUAUCUACGCAUUUCACCGCUACACCUGGAAUUCCGCAUCCCUCUCCCGGAUUCAAGCCCGCCAGUAUCCGACGCAGUUCCCAAGUUAAGCUUGGGGAUUUCACGUCGGACUUAGCAGGCCGCCUACUAGCCCAUUACGCCCAGUAAUUCCGAACAACGCUCGAGACCUCUGUAUUACCGCGGCUGCUGGCAC
rnacentral:rRNA from 1 species